GAUGAACGCUGGCGGCGUGCUUAACACAUGCAAGUCGAACGAUUAAAGCCCCUUCGGGGGUGUAUAGAGUGGCGAACGGGUGAGUAACACGUGGGUAACCUGCCUGGUGCACCGGGAUAGCUCAGGGAAACUUGAAUUAAUACCGGAUACUCCGACUAGACCGCAUGGUCUUAUCGGGAAAGCUCCGACGGCACCAGAUGGACCCGCGGCCCAUUAGCUAGUUGGUGAGGUAACGGCUCACCAAGGCGACGAUGGGUAGCCGAGCUGAGAGGCUGAUCGGCCACAUUGGGACUGAGACACGGCCCAGACUCCUACGGGAGGCUG
rnacentral:rRNA from 1 species